UACGGAGGGGGCUAGCGUUGUUCGGAAUUACUGGGCGUAAAGCGCUCGUAGGCGGAUUGGUCAGUCAGAGGUGAAAGCCCAGGGCUCAACCCUGGAACUGCCUUUGAUACUGCCAGUCUAGAGUUCGGGAGAGGUGAGCGGAAUUCCGAGUGUAGAGGUGAAAUUCGUAGAUAUUGGGAAGAACACCAGUGGCGAAGGCGGCUCACUGGUCCGUAACUGACGCUGAGGUGCGAAAGCGUGGGGAGCAAACAGGAUUAGAUACCCCGUAGUCC
rnacentral:rRNA from 1 species